GGCCCUUGGGUUGUAAAACUCUUUCGUCGGGGAAGAAAAUGACUGUACCCGAAUAAGAAGGUCCGGCUAACUUCGUGCCAGCAGCCGCGGUAAUACGAAGGGACCUAGCGUAGUUCGGAAUUACUGGGCUUAAAGAGUUCGUAGGUGGUUAAAAAAGUUGAUGGUGAAAUCCCAAGGCUCAACCUUGGAACUGCCAUCAAAACUUUUUAGCUAGAGUGUGAUAGAGGAAAGUGGAAUUUCUAGUGUAGAGGUGAAAUUCGUAGAUAUUAGAAAGAACAUCAAAAGCGAAGGCAACUUUCUGGAUCAUUACUGACACUGAGGAACGAAAGCAUGGGUAGCGAGGAGGAUUAGAUACCCUCGUAGUCCAUGCCGUAAACGAUGUGUGCUAGACGUUGGAAACUUAGUUUUCAGUGUCGCAGCGAAAGCAUUAAGCACACCGCCUGGGGAGUACGACCGCAAGGUUA
rnacentral:rRNA from 1 species